rnacentral:rRNA from 1 species
UACGUAGGUGGCAAGCGUUGUCCGGAUUUACUGGGCGUAAAGAGCGCGCAGGCGGUCGUUCAAGUCGCGUGUGAAAGCCCCCGGCUCAACUGGGGAGGGUCACGCGAUACUGAUCGACUCGAAGGCAGGAGAGGGAAGUGGAAUUCCCGGUGUAGUGGUGAAAUGCGUAGAUAUCGGGAGGAACACCAGUGGCGAAGGCGGCUUCCUGGCCUGUUCUUGACGCUGAGGCGCGAAAGCGUGGGGAGCAAACAGGG